rnacentral:tRNA from 1 species
UCCCAUUUGGUCUAGUGGCUAGGAUGCAUGGCUCUCACCUAGGAGGUUCGGGUUCGAUUUCCGGUAUGGGAA